GUUGAAUGCUGGGGCAGAUGAAUUUAGAAUCCACAAAACAAUAGAGUGAAUUCCAGUUCCACCGGCUACUGGCACAUGACCAUGGGUGGAAAACUGGACAUUGCAGAUGAGCCUGGGACACGUACACGGUGGACAUUCUACUCUUCAGUUCAUUCAACCAUGCAGAGCUUUCAACUCAUUUCUCCAUAGAUCUUGCACAGAAAGCUUCCUGGGCAAUAGCUCAGCUUCUCCAAAAGGGGAGCUAAUGGACAGUCAUGCUUAUCUGAAAGCUGGCACAAAGUAUUUCUCAAUUUGGGCUUUUUCAAUGUCUAGUCAUCUUUUUUAAAGUGUGGGGAAUUGGCUAGUUUAUCAGUGUAUGACCUACCAGUGAACUCCAGUACGGAACAACCACAUUGUCCAAGUGAAACAAGGGCCUGUUCAAACCAGUUUCUGUUCCCAGACCGAAACAUGAAUAGAAAUCAUGUAAGGUGGA